rnacentral:misc_RNA from 1 species
CGGGAACUUCACCAUUUUUCGUCCAAGGUCCGUUAAAUCACCAACAUCAUUCAGUGCACCUAGUAACCACAACUGAUACAUGGAGUUAAGGAUGUUAUCUUGAGGAGGUGGAUCCAUAAAAUCAAAAUCCAACAAGUUCUGAAUUUUGAGAGACUUGAGCAGCAAAACCACAUUCCCAAGAUUUGUCCGUUGAAUCUCUGGCACGGGACUUUGCAGCAUUUCAUUCUCAUACGCAUUCUCAGUAUAAAGCCGGUAACAAGUUCCUGGGCCAGUUCUACCAGCUCGACCAGCACGCUGGUCAGCUGCAGCUCGACUAAUAGGGAACACUUGCAGAGCAUCCAUACCCAUACGAGGAUUGUACACCUUCAUUUUACCAUAGCCUGUAUCAAUGACGUAGUAAAUUCCAUCGACAGUCAAGGAUGUUUCUGCAAUAUUAGUAGCAACUAUGCAUUUUCGAGCCCCGUCUUCAGCUUUCUGGAAUAUUUUUGCUUGCAAAUCAGCGGGCAGUUGAGAGUAUAUAGGAAGAAUCAAUAGAUUGGGCACUGCUUGCUUUGUUGACGAGGUAAGCUGUUCCAUGCGCUCUGAAAGUGCAUAACAGGUAGCUUCAAUCUCAUCCUGACCAGUCAUGAAGAUGAGUAUAUCACCCGGUGCACUAGUAAUAUGGAUGGUCAUGGCUUGCUUAACUGCAGCUUCGACAUAAUCUUCACAUGGGGUUUUACUAUACAAUUUAUUUACUGGAAAGGUUCUUCCAGGUAUGUGAAAUAUUGGUACGCUCCCAAAAAAGUUAGAGAACUUCUGGGCAUUCAGAGUUGCAGAAGUGACAAUAAGCUUAAAAUCACGUCGCCUAGCCACAACUUUCUUAAGAAUGCCAAAAAGGACAUCAGUGUUGAGUGAUCUCUCAUGGGCCUCAUCCAUUACAAUUACACGAUAUUUUUCAAGAUCAGGAUCUUUGAGUGUUUCCCUUAG